AUAUCAGUCAUGCAUAGCAUAUCAAUAAGCGGAGGAAAAGAAACUAACAAGGAUUCCCUUAGUAACGGCGAGUGAAGCGGGAAGAGCUCAAAUUUGAAAUCUUCAAGGGUUUCCCUUGACGAAUUGUAGUUUAAAGAAGUGUUUUCUGUUAGAGAGGUGGUAAAAGUUCUUUGGAAUAGGACAUCAUAGAGGGUGAGAAUCCCGUAUUUGAUCACUUUCUACUAACGUUGUGAUACACUUUCAAAGAGUCGGAUUGUUUGGGAAUGCAGUCCAAAAUGGGUGGUAAAUUUCAUCUAAAGCUAAAUAUUGGCGAGAGACCGAUAGCGAACAAGUACCGUGAGGGAAAGAUGAAAAGAACUUUGAAAAGAGAGUUAAACAGUACGUGAAAUUGUCAAAAGGGAAGCGUUUGACACCAGUGUUGUUUUUCCGAAAAUCAAUUAUGAAUGGCUUGAUUUUAAGUUUCAUGACCUUAAAAGCUUGUUUCUUAUUUUUCAUGUCUUUCGUAAUGCACUUUUCGGUUAACAAGUCAACAUCAAUUUCUUUUGUUGUAAAAGGUUAAGAGGAAGGUGGCUUUACUUUCGGGUAAAGUGUUUAUAGCCUUUUACCCCUGCAAUCGGAGAGAUUGAGGUCUGCAGCGUAGAUCCUUCGGGGUUAGAUACAUUUGUGCUAAGCUAUAGCCUUGUAUAGACAACUUGUUGACUAUGCUCAGUCAUGUAGCUUACUCGCUUAUGCUAUUUUACCUACGCUUAGGAUGUUGAUGUGAUACUGCGAGCA
rnacentral:rRNA from 1 species